rnacentral:rRNA from 1 species
UACGGAGGGAGCUAGCGUUGUUCGGAAUUACUGGGCGUAAAGCGCGCGUAGGCGGCCUUGCAAGUUAGAGGUGAAAGCCCGGAGCUCAACUCCGGAACUGCCUUUAAAACUGCAUAGCUUUGAAUCCGGGAGAGGUGAGUGGAAUUCCGAGUGUAGAGGUGAAAUUCGUAGAUAUUCGGAAGAACACCAGUGGCGAAGGCGGCUCACUGGACCGGUAUUGACGCUGAGGCGCGAAAGCUAGGGGAGCAAACGGGG